rnacentral:rRNA from 1 species
GAUCAGUGGCUACAGGACGACGCUGGCGGCGUGCCUAACACAUGCAAGUCGAGCGGAGACAGUGAGUAGCUUGCUAUGAGCUGUUUUAGCGGCGGACGGGUGAGUAACGCGUGAGCAACCUUUCCCAGACAGGGGAAUAACACACCGAAAGGUGUACUAAUACCGCAUAAGACCACGGGAUCACAUGGUUCUGGGGUAAAAGAUUUAUCGGUUUGGGGUGGGCUCGCGUCCGAUUAGGUAGUUGGUGAGGUAACGGCCCACCAAGCCGACGAUCGGUAGCCGACCUGAGAGGGUGAUCGGCCACAUUGGGACUGAGACACGGCCCAAACUCCUACGGGAGGCAGCAGUGGGGAAUAUUGGGCAAUGGAGGAAACUCUGACCCAGCAACGCCGCGUGGAGGAAGAAGGUUUUCGGAUCGUAAACUCCUGUCCUUGGAGACGAGUAGAAGACGGUAUCCAAGGAGGAAGCCCCGGCUAACUACGUG